UCCAGAAUAGCUCAACGGGUGGAACGUUUGAUUUUUAAUUUGAGUGUCCAGGGUUCAAGUCUCUGUAUGGGCA